UUGUUUUCUUCUUUUCCCUUUCUUCCCUGAUUUAACUUUGCAGAGAUUCCUUCCGUUUUUUCUAGACCCCUGCAUUAUUUUCUGCAUAUCUCCCACUUUAACCCUGUGCCAUUUGCAGCUCUCCCACAGACCUUCUGUGAUCCCCAUAGUGCUGUCUCUCAUCCCUUGAUUCCUUUUCCUAACUCAGGCUGUAACUGCUUUUUUGUUCUUUUCC
rnacentral:lncRNA from 1 species